GAUGAACGCUAGCUACAGGCUUAACACAUGCAAGUCGAGGGGAAACGACAUCGAAAGCUUGCUUUUGAUGGGCGUCGACCGGCGCACGGGUGAGUAACGCGUAUCCAACCUGCCCAUCACUUGGGAAUAACCUUGCGAAAGUAAGACUAAUACCCAAUGACAUCCCACGAAGACAUCUGAAUGGGAUUAAAGAUUUAUCGGUGAUGGAGGGGGAUGCGUCUGAUUAGCUUAUUGGCGGGGUAACGGCCCACCAAGGCAACGAUCAGUAGGGGUUCUGAGAGGAAGGUCCCCCACAUUGGAACUGAGACACGGUCCAAACUCCUACGGGAGGCAGCAGUGAGGAAUAUUGGUCAAUGGGCGAGAGCCUGAACCAGCCAAGUAGCGUGCAGGAUGACGGCCCUAUGGGUUGUAAACUGCUUUUAGAAGGGAAUAAAGUGGGUCUCGGGAGACUUUUUGCAUGUACCUUAUGAAUAAGGACCGGCUAAUUCCGUG
rnacentral:rRNA from 1 species